rnacentral:rRNA from 1 species
GCAGCCGCGGUAAUUCCAGCUCCAGUAGUGUAUAUCAAAAUUGUUGCGGUUAAAACGCUCGUAGUUGGAUUACAAAAGCUCUUUGGCGGUUAAAUCAAGGUUUGAUCGCUGUGGGGUUUUUUUAUCGCGAGAGCCGCACGUGGGAUUAAAUUCUUGUGUGUGGUCACUUGCGAGGUGUGCCUUGAAUAAAGCACAGUGCUCAAAGCAGGCGUAAGCUUGAAUGUUAUAGCAUGGAACGAUUAUGUUGAUCUUGUCGACUGUUGGUUGUUGGCAGUGGUCUCGAUUAAAAGGGACAUUUGAGGGCGUUAGUACUUGGUGGCGAGGGGUGAAAUCCUUAGACCCAUCAAAGACUAACUAAUGCGAAAGCAUUCGCCAAGAGUGUUUUCAUUAAUCAAGAACGAAAGUUGGAGGUUCGAAGACGAUCAGAUACCGUCCUAGUUCCAUACAGUAAACUAUGCCAACAUGGGAUUAGCCCGGUUUAAUCCAGGUUGGGCCCUCAGUGAAAAUAAGUGUUUCGGUUCUGGGGAGAGUGCGCGCGCAAGUGCUAAAUUUAAAGAAAUUGACGGAAUGGCACCACCAGGAGUGGAGCCUGCGGCUUAAUUUGAUUCAACACGGGGAAACUCACCAGGUCCAGACAUUGGUAGGAUUGACAGACUGAGAGAUCUUUCAUGAUUUGAUGAUUGGUGGUGCAUGGCCGUUCUUAGUUGGUGGAGUGAUCUGUCAGGUUUAUUCCGGUAACGAGCGAGACCACGAUCUUUAAUUGAUUACGGUUGAAUUGUCUUGACCGAUCUUAAAGAGACCACCGGAGUGAAGCCGGGGGAAGCGUGGCAAUAACAGGUCUGUGAUGCCCUUCGAUGUUCUGGGCUGCACGUGUGCUACAAUGAUAGUGACAACAAGCUCCUGCCCUGAGAGGGGUGGGUAAUCUUGAAAAUCGCUGUCUUGCUUUGGACUGAGCCUUGUAAUAAUUGCUCACGAAAGAGGAAUUCCUCGUAAGCGCGAGUCAUCAGCUCGUGUUGAAUAAGUCUCUGCCCUUUGUACACACCGCCCGUCGCUACUACCGACUGGAUGUUGCUUCGAAAAGUUUGGACCUGCGGCGUCAUUUGGCGCUGCGGGGAAAAGCGUUGAGAUGUUUC